rnacentral:rRNA from 1 species
UACGUAGGGGGCAAGCGUUGUCCGGAAUCACUGGGCUUAAAGCGUGUGUAGGCGGACUUCUAAGUACCUUGUGAAAUCCCACGGCUCAACCGUGGAACUGCUUGGUAUACUGGUCGUCUUGAGCCAUCUAGGGGCUGUCGGGACAAAUGGUGGAGCGGUGAAAUGCGUAGAUAUCAUUUGGAACGCCAAAGGUGAAAACAGGUCGCUGGGAGUGUGCUGACGCUGAGACACGAAAGCCAGGGGAGCAAACGGG